AGAGUUUGAUCCUGGCUCAGGAUUAACGCUAGCGGCAGGCCUAAUACAUGCAAGUCGAACGGCAGCACGGGUAGCAAUACCUGGUGGCGAGUGGCGCACGGGUGCGUAACGCGUAUGCAACCUACCUAUAACUGGGGAAUAGCCUUCUGAAAGGAAGAUUAACACCGCAUAAAAUCACUGGAUGGCAUCACCCGGUGAUCAAAUCUCCGGAGGUUAUAGAUGGACAUGCGUGACAUUAGCUAGUUGGUGAGGUAACGGCUCACCAAGGCUACGAUGUCUAGGGGGUCUGAGAGGAUGAUCCCCCACACUGGUACUGAGACACGGACCAGACUCCUACGGGAGGCAGCAGUAAGGAAUAUUGGACAAUGGGCGCAAGCCUGAUCCAGCCAUGCCGCGUGAAGGAUGACGGCCCUCUGGGUUGUAAACUUCUUUUAUACGGGAAUAAACCCCUGAUUUCUAUCGGGGCUGAAUGUACCGUAAGAAUAAGGAUCGGCUAACUUCGUGCCAGCAGCCGCGGUAAUACGAAGGAUCCAAGCGUUAUCCGGAUUUAUUGGGUUUAAAGGGUGCGUAGGUGGACUAUUAAGUCAGUGGUGAAAGCUUCCCGCUUAACGGGAAAAUUGCCAUUGAUACUGAUGGUCUUGAGUGCAUUUGAAGUGGGCGGAAUGUGUCGUGUAGUGGUGAAAUACUUAGAUAUGACACAGAACACCGAUGCGAAGGCAGCUCACUAAACUGUAACUGACACUGAGGCACGAAAGCGUGGGGAUCAAACAGGAUUAGAUACCCUGGUAGUCCACGCCCUAAACGAUGAUUACUCGAUGUGUGCGAUACACUGCACGCGUCUGGGCGAAAGCAUUAAGUAAUCCACCUGGGGAGUACGGCCGCAAGGCUGAAACUCAAAGGAAUUGACGG
rnacentral:rRNA from 1 species